rnacentral:tRNA from 1 species
GGAAGGGUGGCCGAGUGGUUUAAGGCAACGGUCUUGAAAACCGUCGUGGGGGCAACUCCACCGUGGGUUCGAAUCCCACCCCUUCCGCCA